GUCUUUUUGUAAGUAUAAAAAGUCCGGUCUGCCCACUGAUGAGUAUAUUAAAGGGCCGCAGUAUUUUAACUGUGCAAAGGUAGCAUAAUCAUUAGUUCUUUAAUUGAGAUCUUGAAUGAAUGAUUAGACAAAAAAAUUACUGUCUUUAUAAUAAUAAUUGAAUUUAACUUUUAAGUGAAAAGGCUUAAAUAAUUUGAAGUGACGAUAAGACCCUAUAAAGCUUAAUAUUAUUAUAAAAUUUUUGGUAAAUUAAAUAUAAAGUUUUAAGGUUUAUUAAUAUUUUAUUGGGGCGAUAGAAGUAAAAAGUUUAAUAACUGCUUUUUUUUUAACCAAGUAUGAGUGGUUAGUGUGUAAAUGAUCUUAUUUUAUAGAGUAAAAGAUUAAGUUACUUUAGGGAUAACAGCGUUAUUUUUCUUGAGAGUUCUUAUCGAAAGAAAAGAUUGCGACCUCGAUGUUGAAUUAAAAUAUCUAUAUAAUUGUAGUGGUUAUAUAAGAAGGUCUGUUCGACCUUUAAAUUUUUACGUGAUUUGAGUUCAGACCGGUUUAAACCAGGUCGGUUUCUAUCUUUUAAUUAAAUUGUAAUUAUUUUA
rnacentral:rRNA from 1 species